rnacentral:lncRNA from 1 species
UUGAACUCUUCUCAUGUUCCUCCAGCAGCCACAACUAAAGUACUGUAUCAGGACUGCCUUGGAACAUGAAACCAACUUACCGCUGUACUUUCCAUCUUGGAUGCUGAAGUUCUAGGGUAGGGUUGUCAGUAAAAUGCAGGACACCCAGUUAAAUUUAAAUUUCAAAUAAAUAAGAAAUAAUUUUUAGCCAUUAUUAUGGAGUUGUAGACCUGGUGUGGGGAGUAUGGGGAUCAACCUCAGAAGCCUCCAGAGAGAGAUUGGUGGACUCUAGGAGUGUCGAUCUCAGACUGACCAUCGCUGGGGCCACAUCCAAGCAGCAGCCCUUUGUCCAGAGCCAUUUCCUCCACUGGCCUCAGUUUCUGUAGGGCCCAGAUGGUGCUGAAGUCAGAUGCCAAGGGGAAAGUGACUUUACCCACGAGAGAGAUUUUUAAAUAUUCCCCCAACUGCUCCGAUGGGACCGUCUAGUUACAGGAAAACAAGCUCAAGGCUCCCACUGAUUCUACAUUACGAGCUGGAAGAAACGAAGAACCUCAACAAUUUUUAUUUCUACUUUUGAUCAAGGAAAAGCGUAUUUAGAAGGUUCGCUAGAGAAAAAUUUAGCAGUUUGGAGGAUUGAGAUCCUUUGGCAGAGAUAUGGGAGUGUGAGCAGGAAAUAUUUUUUUAAAGGAAGAGCUGGUGUUUUAGGAUGUCAAAGGUACAAAUUAUGAUGGUGCCAUGGUUGACAGAAAUUUGCAAGAUCUCCGUAUCUACAUGAACUCUUUGCUCCUGACUAUUAGCUGACUGGUCCAGAAAUUCUUGAUCCAAGCUUGAUAUGUAAGCUUCUCUCUCCUGUGAAUAUGGCACUGAGAGACACAAGAUUAGAAGCCCUGGGUGCUGAUCAAACUCAUAGCAAGGAAGAGUGGUGGCUCAAGACUGCCUGCUCCUGAGACUUCUGAGAAGGGUGUCUCUCUGUCUGUGUGGAUGCCUGAUGCUUCUGGUAUUUCACAAAUCUUGAGCCUGGCCAGGAGUUUACUAACAGGCACCCCUGUGUCAUCUGAACAAGAUAAAUAUCCCGCAGUGGAAUCAGCCUUCCCAGGGACCUCCCUGGACUCUGAGAAGUGAUUAAAGGGACUGUGCGGCAGUCAUGGGGAUGCAAGCAGCUGUGGCCAUCAAACUGGUUCUAACAGACAGUAUGAGAUCUUCAUGAUUCUGGACCAUAAGGAUUCCAAAUAGGCUGUUCACUUAUGAGUAGGCCUGUAACACGGACGUGUGAGAAUAAACGCCAGAGAAAAAUUUUUGUGGCUGGUCUACUUGUGGGUACAAAGGCCCAGACCCAUUGUUUCAACUGGAGACCUGUGAAGGGCGAUCCCAGCCUCAGAACCUCGCAUGGGAUGGACUCAGUACUCUGCUGCAACUGCAUUUCAGUUUAACUUCUCCCUUUACCCAGUCCUAACUUCCUUAUUCCCUAAAAAAUGUUUCUGGGAGUGCUCCUCAGUAAACUUCAUGCAUAAACACUUCAGAGGCUCAGAGUAUGUUUCCUGGAGAAUUCCAUCUGUGGCGUUUCCUCUUCAUGCCUACUGCCACCAUCCAGGUUUAGGCCCCCAUUACCGCUUACCUGGAAUAUUGCAAAAGCUUUAUCACUAUUCUCUUUGCUCACUGGCUCUCCUAUAAUCAGUCUACACAACAGCAGACUAAUUUUUUUUAUCCCAGAUCAUAGCUCUUAUGCUGUUUUCCUGCUCAAAAACUUUGGUGGCCCCCCAGUCUAUUUAAUUAGGUUCUUACUCCUUAUUGUGAUUUUCAAGACCCUUCCCAAUUUAGCCCCCACUAUUUUCAGCUCUCAUCUUCUACUCCAGUAUAAGUAUGCUCCGCUCCAUUUAAACUAGAACAUUUGCAAUCCUCCAAAUCUACUGUAAAAAUUCAUUUUUCCUAUAUUUGUUCCAAAUGUUCUCUUCUAUUAUCUUCUUUAUAAAAUUUGAACCAUAUUUCAAGGUCCAUUCUCCUUUUUCUUUUUCAUUUUUUUUCUAGAUGGAGUCUCGCACUGUCGCCCAGGCUAGAGUGCAGUGGCGCGAUCUCGGCUUACUGCAACCUCCGCCUCCUGGGUUCAAGCGAUUCUCCUGCCUCAGCCUUCCGAGUAGCUGGGAUUACAGGUGCCCCCCACCACACCCAGCUAAUUUUUGUAUUUUUAGUAGAGACGGGAUUUCACUGUAUUGGCCAGGCUGGUCUCAAACUCCUAACCUUGUGAUCUACCCACCUCGGCCUCCCAAAGUGCUGGGAUUACAGGCGUGAGCCACUGCUCCUGGCCAGGCUUAAGGUCCAUUGUGAGAGCAAUAUUCAUUCUUGGCAUACCUGUAUCAAUGUAUCUUAUGUACCCCAUAAAUAUAUAUCCCUACUAUGUGACCAAAAAAAUUAAAAAUAAAAUAAAAAUUUAAAACCC